rfam:Oryza meridionalis cultivar OR44 (W2112) chromosome 5, whole genome shotgun sequence.
UUUAAGUGCAACCAUGAAUUUCCGCGUCUAACUUUGAUCGUCCGUCUUAUUUAAAUAUUUUUUAUAAUUAGUAUUUUUUUGUUGUUAUAAGAUAAUAAGAUAUGAAUAAUGCUUUACUCGUGACUUAUGUUUUAAAAUUUUUAAAAAAAUUAAAUAAGAUAAACGAUUAAAAUUAGGUGUGGAAAAUCACGGCUGCAUUGAAA